GCAGGUCCCAUUUUGCCGGCCGUCCGGGCAAUGUCCGUCGCAGUAGCACACAAUGCCCAGCACUGCAAGAAGACAACAUAGAUAUAAUCACGCAUGCGAUUCCUCUGAGAUUAAUACUCGCUUAUAAACGAACGCCAAGAGUGGCCAAGUGGGAGAUGCGUCGCUAUGAAAUUAGGUGAACGAUGCGUUGCGCGAGGUGCGGAAAAUAAUUUAAAAAUAACAAUUGAUAAUGAAGAGAGGCGAGACUUGUGGGCGCGGAGUUGAGUGGAUUCGAGAGGUUGUUUGACAAGUCAUGAGAUGUGUCGUGUAGGCGAACAACCGUCGUCGCGUCCCACGGAGAGGCGUACACUGCCGCGAAGAGAAAGGAGUGUGACGUAAAGCAGCCAGAAUUAGAUGUGACUCCGAAUUGAAUCUGACAGACCGCAAAACCGGGGGAGGUUCGCAACGAGAGCAUCCGCCUCCGUCACGGUGGCCGAUAACGGCGAAUUCGAUGCAAACACGGUGUCACGUUUCUAACGAGUAUGCAAGCGACGCGACGGCCGUCGACGGGACGCAAAAGGAGAAAGAGGAAGGAGGCCUGUGAGACAAGCGUGCGUGCGCGGAGGCUACGCUUAUCUACCGCCGCGGAAUUACUCUCUCGUGCGUCUAUUUUACGGUGACCGCUCUAUUUAUAACCCCAGGAAUAUCUGGAUGACGGAUUCGAUUCUUCGCGCGUUCUGCGUCCGUUCCACCGCGUACGCCUUUCUCCUCGUUCCCUUCGCUCGCCCAGGGUGUCGCCUGAAUCUUUUAAUUUUAGCAUUAAUUCCGAAUAAUCCCAUAAUUCAAUUCAAAUUUGAUCGAUGAAUCCUUGGCGUUGAAAGCAGCAUCGAGGACAUGGAUAAAGCGGAACGCAAGGUCGAAAAUCUAUUAAAUACCUUUUCCCUUUAGAUCUAAAGUCCUUCUAAGAAAUCUAUGUUAGGUCGCAUUACACGAUAUAAUCUCAGUCCGACUUAGCGGAAUUCGACCUGUUAGAGUUGCAAGGAGUAUACCGUGACCGUGCCUUUUUAAUAGGGGCAAGCGUAAACAAGGUAUAAACGUGAAAGCAACGAACUCUCAAGUGUCUCGACGGCCGCGACUCGCUUAUCCUUGCGUAUCUGGAAACGAAACGUAAAUAGCUUCGCAGAAAGCGUAUUUUUCCACAUCAACAACUGUUCUGUCAACGCGCACGAUCGUGGAUAUUAUCGCCGUCGUGGUUGGCGAUUAAUGACCGCGGGAACACGCGUAGGAUCUGGAAAAAGAAUCGUCUAAGUGACACUUAUACCGCGAUAUCGAUUUCGGCCUUAUCCAGAUGGAAGUAGCGACGGAUUUAGAACUCUAAGAGUCUUACACAGCAUUUAGCAUGAUGACAACUUUCUGAAUAGAUCGUUAUUUAACAAGUCAUAUUAUUUACCUGAUUGUUUUUAGUUAAAAUUGCCUAAUAAUUUCCUUUACAUAAAAUAAAUUUGUCUAAUAAUUUCCUUUACAUAAAAUUUGAAAGCUACUUUCUUUACUGAUUAUCUUGAUUUUCAUAUUUGACUGUUUUUUUAAAAAGUGAGCAUUUACAAAAUCAGAGGAUUGCCAAGAGGCUCUUUAAAGCCCGUAUCAGACUACGCAUUGGAGACUGCCAACCGCAAACUGUCGACUAUAAUUCGACCAAUCAACCUUAAUCUUAAUUCGUUUUAUUCCGAUUGGUUGAAUUCUAAUCUCUAAUGCACGUAGUCUGAUGCGGGCUUUAAGCCCGUCACUAUGCAUCGAGAUGAGUCAGAUUCGAAAUGCGUAUCACCGAUCGUAAAAACAGAGAAUCACCUUCUACGAUUCACAAUCUGGAUCCUACGUCAAUCUAAUUGACUGGUCAAUGAUUUGUAAUCCGAAUCAAAUUCGCGUCCGCAAUGCGUAUAGUGUGACGUGCGCUCUAGAAGUUGAGACUCGCGAAUUGGAGAUCAGAAUUCAAUCAAUCGAAACAAAACGGAUUAAAAUGAAGAUCAUCCGAUUAGUUGAAUUCUAAUCUUUAUAGUUCGCAAUGCUCAAUCUCCAAUGCGCAGUUUGAUACGGAGGGGGCUCGACAAUCGGCUGGCGAGAAAAGCGCCGUAAUGAACUGUUUAGAAAACUGUCGUUCACACGCGAGUGUGCAGUGUAUACGAGAGCUCGCGCGAGAUCGGGCCGAGAGGCGGUAACGCGCAUAUCUGCUUUCGUGCGGCUUUCGCGACGCAAUCGGCGCCCGUAAUCGCACGAAGGUUUCAAUGAAUCGCGCGAGGCAACGUGCCAGCUAGCCGCGGACUUUAUCAGCGUGGCAAAGAGCAGUAUCAGCGAUAGCCCCGCGCGUCUAUGAGUCGCGCCGAAUCGCGAAGUUCGCGCCGGCCGCGGCGCGGCGGUUCUAACGCCACGCCGGGGCAGCUAUUUCGAAACAUUGGACAUUUUUUCUUCUUUCAAUUAACAACAAACAACGUCGAUCAUGAUCAACGUCGCAAUUUUCGAAGCUCUAGAACGACGUCGAGGACAAUCGGAUCGCGAAAAGUACGAGUCGGAAGGGAAUAUUUGUCACGCAUUCGUUCCCCCUGGGGAGCUAUCAAUAACCGAACAAACAUUGUUAAAGACAGGCAUGAAGGCGAUUGUGACUUAUCGCAGAUAACAAACAAAAUUAGUUUUACUAAUUUAAAUAAAUGAGGAAAACCAAUUGCGUAAAUAUUGAACGUAGGCUAACUUGAGAGUUGAUUUUUAUGGUUUGUACAAGAGGACAUUGAUUCGCGUCGUGUUGGGUGUGAAAGCUAUCCCUUAUCUCUCGUUCCCUUAUCGCAUUAUCAAUAUUUAGAGUCAAUACAAGGUAUGUGAUUCUGGGGAUCUUGUGUUUCCGCCCGAUAGGCGUUAAAGUAUCACCGAUAAAACGAUUUUGUUAAUAAAACGAUUAAUGAAGACGAA